rnacentral:rRNA from 1 species
AGAACGAACGCUGGCGGCAUGCCUAACACAUGCAAGUCGAACGAGACCUUCGGGUCUAGUGGCGCACGGGUGCGUAACGCGUGGGAAUCUGCCCUUGGGUUCGGAAUAACAGCGAGAAAUUGCUGCUAAUACCGGACGAUGACGUAAGUCCAAAGAUUUAUCGCCCAAGGAUGAGCCCGCGUAGGAUUAGCUUGUUGGUGAGGUAAGAGCUCACCAAGGCGACGAUCCUUAGCUGGUCUGAGAGGAUGAUCAGCCACACUGGGACUGAGACACGGCCCAGACUCCUACGGGAGGCAGCAGUGGGGAAUAUUGGACAAUGGGCGAAAGCCUGAUCAGCAAUGCCGCGUGAGUGAUGAAGGCUUAGGGUGUAAAGCUCUUUACCGGAUGAUAAUGGCAGUACCGGAGAAUAAGCUCCGGCUAACGUCCGUGCCAGCAGCCGC